UUUUGCUGUAGCAGAUUCUUUUCAUUGGAGGGAGCUUUUGCUACUGGAUGUUGGUAUUAUUUGUCUGCUGGGCUAUAUCAUCUCAAUGCUUCAGUGAUCUAAUUGAUUUAGUGAGAUAUGUCAUCUUUUGAUCAGGGAAGAGAUGUGGAUCCUUAUGCACACCUUUGGCUGCAAUAUGAAGAGUAUUGUUAGGAAUUUCAUUUUUCUAGAAAUUCUGGAUUUGGAUAUUUGCAAACAGCUUCCUUUGUCUUCUCCUGGAGUCAAGGUUCUUCUUUCUUCUUUAAAUUUUUUGAAGUUACCUGUCACCAAGAUUUCAUCAUCAAUUCCAUUAUUUCCAUCAUGUAGACAUGUACUAUGGUUAAUAUGUCCAUGUUUUAUUGCUAAGUGAUCCUCUUCAAUCAGUGCCCUGAAUCAAUCAGCAAAUUUCUGCAGCGACAAUAUUGACUGAAACAGUGGUUGGCUCAAGAUAUAAUUCUGAUGAAGGGAGGUUUUACCUUAAAGUUUAUUAUGCAUAUUUUGUUAAAUGACAUUUAUUUAGUAGUCUUCUUACUAAAGCUGAUUAUUGUUUCUUUGCAGACUCUUGAGAGUGUGUCAUGGUAAUCCAAUUUGACUUCUGUAGAAUCUACAAAUUCCUUUCUCUUAACCAUCUGAAUAGGUAUCUUGGUUAUUGAUUUGGAUAGAUUUUGAAGAACUCGGAUCUAAUUAA
rnacentral:lncRNA from 1 species